rnacentral:rRNA from 1 species
AAUAGAUACCCGGGUAGUCCACGCCGUAAACGAUGAGUGCUAAGUGUUAGAGGGUUUCCGCCCUUUAGUGCUGCAGCUAACGCAUUAAGCACUCCGCCUGGGGAGUACGGUCGCAAGACUGAAACUCAAAGGAAUUGACGGGGGGCCCGCACAAGCGGUGGAGCAUGUGGUUUAAUUCGAAGCAACGCGAAGAACCUUACCAGGUCUUGACAUCCUCUGACAACUCUAGAGAUAGAGCGUUCCCCUUCGGGGGACAGAGUGACAGGUGGUGCAUGGUUGUCGUCAGCUCGUGUCGUGAGAUGUUGGGUUAAGUCCCGCAACGAGCGCAACCCUUGAUCUUAGUUGCCAGCAUUUAGUUGGGCACUCUAAGGUGACUGCCGGUGACAAACCGGAGGAAGGUGGGGAUGACGUCAAAUCAUCAUGCCCCCUUAUGACCCUGGGCUACACACGUGCUACAAUGGAUGGUACAAAGGGCUGCAAGACCGCGAGGUCAAGCCAAAUCCCAUAAAAACCAUUCUCAGUUCGGAUUGUAGG